CCAUCACUAACACGUGUUUCAAUUAGAACAAACAGAGAGCUUCCAUCACAGACCGACUUUAACCUUGCCGUUCACCACCGAUUCCGGUGACAAGAGUCAUCGUCGAUAUUAAUUUGUUCAGUAAAUUUUGUGGUUUUUCACCGUUUAACAAAAUCGGAGCCCAUAAGAGGAUAACAGCUAAAGGGAAUUGAUAGUAUGCUUCAGUUCUUCUACUUCUUCUCUUUAAUUAAAAUUGCAAAUCACUGGGAUAAUUAAAAAACCUUUCCCAAUUAAAAAACCAAACACUCA
rfam:Arabidopsis thaliana chromosome 4, complete sequence.